UGGGGAAUAUUGCACAAUGGGGGAAACCCUGAUGCAGCGACGCCGCGUGAACGAAGAAGGUAUUCGUAUCGUAAAGUUCUGUCCUAUGGGAAGAUAAUGACAGUACCAUAGAAGAAAGCUCCGGCUAAAUACGUGCCAGCAGCCGCGGUAAUACGUAUGGAGCGAGCGUUGUCCGGAAUUAUUGGGCGUAAAGGGUACGCAGGCGGUUUAAUAAGUCGAAUGUUAAAGAUCGGGGCUCAACCCCGCAAAGCAUUGGAAACUGAUAAACUUGAGUAGUGGAGAGGAAAGUGGAAUUCCUAGUGUAGUGGUGAAAUACGUAGAUAUUAGGAGGAAUACCAGUAGCGAAGGCGACUUUCUGGACACAAACUGACGCUGAGGUACGAAAGCAUGGGGAGCAAACAGG
rnacentral:rRNA from 1 species